rnacentral:rRNA from 1 species
GAAGCUUCGGCAAUGGGGGAAACCCUGACCGAGCGACGCCGCGUGCGCGAUGAAGGCCCUUGUGGUUGUAAAGCGCUGUCAGGAGGGGAUAACUCGCAGAGGUGAAUAUCCUCUGUGUCUGAAGGUACCUCCAAAGGAAGCUCCGGCUAACUCCGUGCCAGCAGCCGCGGUAAUACGGAGGGAGCGAACGUUGUUCGGAUUUACUGGGUGUAAAGGGUGCGUAGGCGGCCCUGUGUGUCGGAGGUGAAAUCCAGCGGCUCAACCGCUGGCCUGCCCCCGAAACUGCAGGGCUUGAGUCCGUGAGAGGAAGGCGGAAUUCCUGGUGUAACGGUGAAAUGUGCAGAUAUCAGGAAGAACACCCGUAGCGAAGGCGGCCUUCUGGUGCGGAACUGACGCUGAGGCACGAAAGCUAGGGUAUCGAACGGG